AGCGAACGCUGGCGGCAGGCCUAACACAUGCAAGUCGAACGAAGUCUUCGGACUUAGUGGCGGACGGGUGAGUAACACGUGUGAACGUGCCUUUAGGUUCGGAAUAACUCAGGGAAACUUGUGCUAAUACCGAAUGUGCCCUUCGGGGGAUAGAUUUAUCGCCUUUAGAGCGGCCCGCGUCUGAUUAGCUAGUUGGUGAGGUAAAGGCUCACCAAGGCUACGAUCAGUAGCUGGUCUGAGAGGAUGACCAGCCACAUUGGGACUGAGACACGGCCCAAACUCCUACGGGAGGCAGCAGUGGGGAAUCUUGCGCAAUGGGCGAAAGCCUGACGCAGCCAUGCCGCGUGGAUGAUGAAGGUCUUAGGAUUGUAAAAUCCUUUCACCGGUGAAGAUAAUGACUGUAGCCGGAGAAGAAGCCCCGGCUAACUUCGUGCCAGCCGCCGCCGUAAAAC
rnacentral:rRNA from 1 species